GAUGAACGCUGGCGGCAUGCUUUACACAUGCAAGUCGAACGGUAACAGGUUAAGCUGACGAGUGGCGAACGGGUGAGUAAUGCAUCGGAACGUGCCCGAUCGUGGGGGAUAACGCAGCGAAAGCUGCGCUAAUACCGCAUACGAUCUGAGGAUGAAAGCGGGGGACCGUAAGGCCUCGCGCGAUCGGAGCGGCCGAUGUCAGAUUAGGUAGUUGGUGGGGUAAAGGCCCACCAAGCCGACGAUCUGUAGCUGGUCUGAGAGGACGACCAGCCACACUGGGACUGAGACACGGCCCAGACUCCUACGGGAGGCAGCAGUGGGGAAUUUUGGACAAUGGGCGAAAGCCUGAUCCAGCAAUGCCGCGUGCAGGAAGAAGGCCUUCGGGUUGUAAACUGCUUUUGUACGGAGCGAAAAGGUCCUUUCUAAUACAAGGGGCUCAUGACGGUACCGUAAGAAUAAGCACCGGCUAACUACGUGCCAGCCGCCGCAGUAA
rnacentral:rRNA from 1 species